CCUACGGGAGGCAGCAGUGGGGAAUAUUGCACAAUGGGGGAAACCCUGAUGCAGCGACGCCGCGUGAGUGAAGAAGUAAUUCGUUACGUAAAGCUCUAUCAGUAGGGAAGAAAAUGACGGUACUUGAGUAAGAAGCCCCGGCUAAUUACGUGCCAGCAGCCGCGGUAAUACGUAGGGGGCAAGCGUAAUCCGGAUUUACUGGGCGUAAAGGGAGUGUAGGCGGUGGGCCAAGUCCGGAGUGAAAUGCCGGAGCUUAACUUCGGAACUGCUUUGGAAACCGGCGAACUAGAGUGCGGGAGGGGUGAGCGGAAUGCCUGGUGUAGCGGUGAAAUGCGUAGAGAUUAGGAAGAACACCGAUUGCGAAGGCAGCUUACCGGGCUGUAACUGACGUUGAGGCUCGAAAGCGUGGGGAGCAAACAGGAUUAGAUACCCGAGUAGUC
rnacentral:rRNA from 1 species